UACGUAGGGUGCGAGCGUUAAUCGGAAUUACUGGGCGUAAAGCGCACGUAGGCGGUUCGUUAUGUCGGAUGUGAAAGCCCUUGGCUUAACCGAGGAAGUGCAUCCGAAACUGGCGAGCUAGAGUACGAAAGAGGAUCGCGGAAUUCCCGGUGUAGAGGUGAAAUUCGUAGAUAUCGGGAGGAACACCGGUGGCGAAGGCGGCGAUCUGGGUCGAUACUGACGCUGAGGUGCGAAAGCGUGGGGAGCAAACAGGG
rnacentral:rRNA from 1 species